UACGGGGGGGGCAAGCGUUGUUCGGAAUUACUGGGCGUAAAGGGCUCGUAGGUGGCCAACUAAGUCAGACGUGAAAUCCCUCGGCUUAACCGGGGAACUGCGUCUGAUACUGGAUGGCUGGAGUAUGGGAGAGGGAUGCGGAAUUCCAGGUGUAGCGGUGAAAUGCGUAGAUAUCUGGAGGAACACCGGUGGCGAAGGCGGCAUCCUGGACCAUUACUGACGCUGAGGAGCGAAAGCUAGGGGAGCAAACAGG
rnacentral:rRNA from 1 species